rnacentral:rRNA from 1 species
AUGAGCCUUCUCCUAGCCUUGGAACUGCUGCUCUUCCUGCUUGCCUUGCCACGCCUUUCUUUUACCUCAAAUUCCACACAUUCGUCGCUGGAUCAGCAGGCAGAGGCGCUUCUCCAAUGGAAAUCUAACCUAAGCAGUCAUUGGUCCUAUGCUCUCCACUCAUGGACAAAGGAAACCAGCCCGUGUGACUGGAUCAGCAUUACCUGCAGCAACGCCAUGCUGCCUCGUGGCGGUGACCACGGUGAUGCUGCCCUAGUUGUGUCCAACAUUUCGCUUGUGGAGGAUGGCCUUUUUGGCAGGUUGGACAGGCUUCACUUUUCAGACUUGCCCCAUCUUGUCUUUCUGAACCUCAGUGACAACUAUUUCUCGGGCUCAAUCCCAUCAAGCAUUGGUGCUCUUGCCGAGCUCACUCACUUGGAUCUUUCCGCCAAUAACCUGGACGGAUCUAUCCCAGCAUCCCUAGACUUGCCCCAUCGUGUGUAUCUGGACCUCAGUUACAACGACCUGAACGGAUCUAUCUCAACAUCCCUAGAUAAAUCAUUGGCGCUCUUGCAAAGCUCUCUUUUGGAUCUGUCCACCAACAAUCUUGAUGGAUCCAUCCCACCUUUCGAAGACUUGUCACAUCUUAUCUAUCUGAACCUCAGCAACAACUAUCUAUGGGGUUCAAUCCCAUCAAGCAUUGUUGCUCUUGCUGAGCUCACACACCUGGAUCUAUCCAACAAUGGCCUGAAUGGAUCUAUCCCAACAUCCCUUGAUUUGCCUCAUCUUCUAUAUCUGAACCUAAGUUACAAUGACCUGAACGGAUCUAUCCCAACAUCCCUAGCCUGUCUAGCAAGGCUGGAACUUGGAUCCAAUCAGCUUAACGGCAUGUUACCACCACAAUUAGGAUCUCUUAUAAAUCUAUCACAUCUGGAUCUUUCCAACAACCAGAUCACGGGUUCCAUUGUAAGCAUAACCAAUGUAACAAGUUUAGAACUCUUGGAUCUUUCCAACAACCUCAUAAAUGGUUCCAUCCCUUCGACCUUCUCGAAAUUGAUCUAUCUUACAACACUGUCACUUGAGUCCAAUCAGCGUAAUGGUCUAUUACCACCAGAGUUAAGAUCUCUUGUUCUACUCACAGAUCUGGACCUAAGUAGCAACCAGUUUCUAGGAAGCAUUCCACCUCAGAUAGGACAUUGCCACCUUUUGUCAUCGUUACUGAUAUCAGACAACUUAUUGACAGGAGAAAUACCACAAGAAUGUGGUUACCUCACCAACCUAUAUGAGCUGGACUUGAGUAGAAACAAUUUAAGUGGCACCAUCCCAGGGACUUUUUCUAAUCUUUCCCAACUGUAUAGGCUGAAUUUAUCAUAUAAUAGUUUGGUUGGCAGAGUUCCGUUACUUCCAUAUGCAUCUGGCCCUGGAGCCUUUAUCUCACUUGGCAAUAAUAUGGAUUUAUGUGGUGAACACUUUUAUGGUAUAAAACCAUGUGAAGUACCGAAGCUUGAAACACCAAGUGAAAUACCAAAGCUUGAAACACCAAGUGAAAUACCAAAGCUUGACAGAGAACGACAAAGCAGUAAACAUCCAAAUAAGAUCCUACUUGUAAUUAUUUUUGCUCCCUUUUUAUGUGUUACCCUUGUAAUAGCAAGCAUUGUGAUUAUUUGUCGGAGAAGAAAACUCGUAAAAAUUGCUACCAAAAGCAAGUCCGGAGAUAUACUUUCCAUAUGGAAUUUCGACGGAAAGAUCGCAUUCAAAGACAUACUCACCGCAACAGAAAAUUUCGAUGAGAAAUAUUGCAUCGGCAUUGGAGGCUACGGAUCAGUCUUCAGAGUUGAGCUUGAAGGGGGGAAGAUUUUUGCGGUCAAGCUCCUCCGCUCGAUGGAAGAAUACAGCGAUGAGGGGACAUUUCAUGCCGAGGUUGAAGUACUGGCAAAAAUAAGGCACCGAUGCAUCGUCAAGCUGUAUGGAUUCUGUUCCCACUCCCGGUGCAAAUUUCUCAUGUAUGAUCUUAUCGAGAGGGGAAGCUUAUCGUCUAUUCUGCAUGAGCAAGAGCUAGCGAUGGACAUAACUUAUGUCUCAGACUUUGGCAUGGCGAGGAAGCUGAAGCAUGGUUACUCCAGCUGGAGCACUACCUUUGCAGGGACAUGUGGCUACAUAGCCCCAGAGCAGCCGGAAAAGCUCAAAGACAUCCUGGAUCAACACAUCGCAGCACCGUCAACCAUUGAUGAGGAGAAGGAUGCCAUUUUGGUUGCCUUGGUGGCCUUUGCUUGCCUGCAAGUCUCUCCAAAAGCUCGGCCAACAAUGCAGCAGUUUCUCCAAACUCGACAUGGCUCAACAGAACCAAUCAGCCAGGCCUGUUCGUCCUGUUCGACGGGGGGCUCCGCCGCGUCGAACAUGCUACGAGCAGCUGCAUUGCUUAUGAUGAGCACAUUUAUCAUCCAAAUUUUCUCGAUCAUGCCAUAUAACCUGUCCAACCACACGAAGAAACGCCAGUUGUUCACCAAACAUACUAAAUUCAGCAACUUGAUUCUGAGCAUUAAAGAACAGAGAAACAACCUUCUUGUCCUUGUCAUUCCACUGAAUAUUUGGCCGGGUUCAGAGAUGUCCAAGACUGCUGCAACAUCAACCUUUAGCAUCGACAUUGUAGACCUUCAGCCAGAGGGAGCCUCAUCAUCCCUUGGUGCUAGCCGGAGCAGAGUUGAGCUUCUCUGUGACAUGCCCUGCGCUGCCAUGGUCGGGAACAGAGACGAAGAGGCAUCCCAGCUACUAGACUUCAGCUUGUAUGGGCAACCCAUGCAACGAGGUAGAUAUGAACUGGGAUACGCCGCACCAAAACCUUUUCAAAACUGGUAG